CUCACUUUUAUCUUAAGCGUGUCCUUGAGGAUGUCUUCGCCUUUCAGCUUGGGGUCUCCAGGAAACAGAGGAUCAAACUCGAGCCCAAUCAUGUCAUUCUUGUAUGCUCCCUGCACGCCGCAGUCGAAAAACAAUGAGAAAAGAGGAUAGCUGUGAGGCUCGAUUGCCGAGAUGGACUGUUAAUAGCUCGAAAGUAGCGUAUCUCGGUAUGACGAAGAGAUGCUUGACUGGUACUAGUAGCAGCAACUAUGAUGCAGCAUUCCUAUAGCAGGCUAUGGAGACAUUCAACGUAAAAAGUCUCUACCUCCACUGCCGUUUCUGCUCGGCCAAAGUAAACUGUUUCUCCAUCAGAAAGAAGACACAGAUCAUCAAACAACUUGAAAACUUCAGAGCUUGGUUGGUGAACCGCU